rnacentral:rRNA from 1 species
GAUGAACGCUGGCGGCGUGCUUAACACAUGCAAGUCGAACGGGAAACAUUUUAAUGAAGCUUCGGCAGAUUUAGCUUGUUUCUAGUGGCGGACGGGUGAGCAACGCGUGGGUAACCUGCCUCACACUGGGGGAUAACAGUCAGAAAUGACUGCUAAUACCGCAUAAACGCACGGGAUUGCAUGAUCCAGUGUGAAAAACUCCGGUGGUGUGAGAUGGACCCGCGUUGGAUUAGCCAGUUGGCAGGGUAACGGCCUACCAAAGCGACGAUCCAUAGCCGGCCUGAGAGGGUGGACGGCCACAUUGGGACUGAGACACGGCCCAGACUCCUACGGGAGGCAGCAGUGGGGAAUAUUGCACAAUGGGGGAAACCCUGAUGCAGCGACGCCGCGUGAAGGAAGAAGUAUCUCGGUAUGUAAACUUCUAUCAGCAGGGAAGAAAAUGACGG